AGGCAAAGACGUAUUAGAUGUAAAGUGGGUUUACACGAGAAAAUCAGAUGACAGGUAUAAGGCUAGAUUAGUGGUAAGAGGAUUCCAACAAAGAAACGUAGCUGAUGACAUAUACUCCCCAGUAGCGAGUAAUCAGACCUUUAAGAUAUUGCUAUCAUAUUGUUGUCAAAAUGGAUUAAUUAUUGAGCAAAUGGAUGUAGA
rnacentral:misc_RNA from 1 species